rnacentral:misc_RNA from 1 species
UCCUCGUUUAAGCGAGGCAGUCUGUCCGAAGAGCACCCGCUUUCACGGGUUUCACCCUGCAUGUCAAGCCCAGGUAAGGUUCUUCGCGUCGCAUCGAAUUAAGCCGCAUGCUCCGCCGCUUGUGCGGGCCCCCGUCAAUUCCUUUGAGUUUUAAUCUUGCGACCGUACUCCCCAGGCGGACGACUUCACGCGUUAGCUGCGUUACUAAGGGAUUUAACUCCCCCAACAACUAGUCGUCAUCGUUUAGGGCGUGGACUAC